GUGUGUGUGGAUGUCUGUUAGUGUGUGUAUGUUAGUGUGUAUGUUAGUGUGUGUAUGUAAGUGUGUAUAUGUUAGUGUGUGUGGAUGUCUGUUAGUGUGUGUAUGUUAGUGUGUCUGUUAGUGUGUGUAUGUUAGUGUGUGUAUGUUAGUGUUAGUGUGUGUGUCUGUUAGUGUGUAUGUUAGUGUUAGUGUGUGUAUGUUAGUGUUAGUG